UACGUAGGGUGCAAGCGUUGUCCGGAAUUAUUGGGCGUAAAGAGCUCGUAGGCGGUCUGUCGCGUCGGCUGUGAAAACUCGGGGCUCAACCCCGAGCCUGCAGUCGAUACGGGCAGACUAGAGUGCUGUAGGGGAGACUGGAAUUCCUGGUGUAGCGGUGAAAUGCGCAGAUAUCAGGAGGAACACCGGUGGCGAAGGCGGGUCUCUGGGCCGAUACUGACGCUGAGGAGCGAAAGCAUGGGUAGCGAACAGG
rnacentral:rRNA from 1 species